rnacentral:rRNA from 2 species
UGCGAGACCGAUAGCGAACAAGUACCGUGAGGGAAAGAUGAAAAGAACUUUGAAAAGAGAGUUAAAGAGUACCUGAAACUGCUGAAAGGGAAGCGAAUCGUAUCCAGUGUCUAUAAUCUGUAGCAUAUUUCAUUGGCGAGUAGGUGCGUGCAGUAUGUAAGAAGUGGUUUUCUGCUCUUUGUGCUGUUCUGCGUUUGCUUGUUGGUGCCCUGUGUUGCGGUGGGACGUCAGAGUCAGUUCGUAUGCUGUGAGAAAUGGCUACUGAGGAGGUAGGUUAGGAGCUUGCUCUUGGCUGUUAUAUCUUGGUAGUUAGUUGUCGUGGUUGAGACUGAGGUGCC